rnacentral:rRNA from 1 species
AACGAACGCUGGCGGCAUGCCUAACACAUGCAAGUCGAACGAGACCUUCGGGUCUAGUGGCGCACGGGUGCGUAACGCGUGGGAACCUGCCCUUAGGUUCGGAAUAACUCCCCGAAAGGGGUGCUAAUACCGGAUAAUGUCUUCGGACCAAAGAUUUAUCGCCUUUGGAUGGGCCCGCGUUGGAUUAGCUAGUUGGUAGGGUAAAAGCCUACCAAGGCGACGAUCCAUAGCUGGUCUGAGAGGAUGAUCAGCCACACUGGGACUGGGACACGGCCCAGACUCCUACGGGAGGCAGCAGUGGGGAAUAGUGGACAAUGGGCGAAAGCCUGAUCCAGCAAUGCCGCGUGAGUGAUGAAGGCCUUAGGGUUGUAAAGCUCUUGUACCCGGGAUGAUAAUGACAGUACCGGGAGAAUAAGCUCCGGCUAACUCCGUG